UGGGGAAUAUUGGACAAUGGGGGCAACCCUGAUCCAGCCAUGCCGCGUGAGUGAUGAAGGCCUUCGGGUUGUAAAGCUCUUUUGGCGGGGACGAUGAUGACGGUACCCGCAGAAUAAGCCCCGGCUAACUUCGUGCCAGCAGCCGCGGUAAGACGAAGGGGGCAAGCGUUGUUCGGAAUUACUGGGCGUAAAGGGCGCGUAGGCGGUUUGCUUAGUCAGGCGUGAAAGCCCUGGGCUUAACCUGGGAUGUGCGCUUGAUACUGGCAGGCUUGAGUGUGGGAGAGGUUGGUGGAAUUCCCAGUGUAGAGGUGAAAUUCGUAGAUAUUGGGAAGAACACCGGUGGCGAAGGCGGCCAACUGGACCACAACUGACGCUGAGGCGCGAAAGCGUGGGGAGCAAACA
rnacentral:rRNA from 1 species